GACGAACGCUGGCGGCGGGCUUAACACAUGCAAGUCGAACGGAAAGGCCCUGCUUUUGUGGGGUGCUCGAGUGGCGAACGGGUGAGUAACACGUGAGUAACCUGCCCUUGACUUUGGGAUAACUUCAGGAAACUGGGGCUAAUACCGGAUAGGAGCUCCUGCUGCAGGGUGGGGGUGGGAAAGUUUCGGCGGUUGGGGAUGGACUCGCGGCUUAUCAGCUUGUUGGUGGGGGAGUGGCUGACCAAGGCUUUGACGGGUAGCCGGCCUGAGAGGGUGACCGGCCACAUUGGGACUGAGAUACGGCCCAGACUCCUACGGGAGGCAGCAGUGGGGAAUAUUGCACAAUGGGCGGAAGCCUGAUGCAGCAACGCCGCGUGCGGGAUGACGGCCUUCGGGUUGUAAACCGCUUUCGCCUGUGACGAAGCGUGAGUGACGGUAAUGGGUAAAGAAGCACCGGCUAACUACGUG
rnacentral:rRNA from 1 species